UACGUAGGUGGCAAGCGUUGUCCGGAUUUAUUGGGUUUAAAGGGUGCGUAGGCGGUCCUAUAAGUCAGUUGUGAAAUACGGCAGCUUAACUGUCGAGGUGCAAUUGAUACUGCAGGACCUGAGUACAGACGAGGUAGGCGGAAUUGACGGUGUAGCGGUGAAAUGCUUAGAUAUCGUCAAGAACACCGAUAGCGAAGGCAGCUUACUAGACUGUAACUGACGCUGAUGCACGAAAGUGUGGGGAUCAAACAGG
rnacentral:rRNA from 1 species